AGGGUGUUAAAUGACUAUUUUGCCCUGAUAUAGACAACUUUGGAGGAGCAGCGAGGCUUGGAGUAUCGACUUGGAUAAGCUUGAAUCGUAUUAUUGGACCCUGUGAAGGUGAGCCCUAGAAUUGGUGGACUUGGAGCUGGGCGGGAUUCAGAGUGGCCAUGAAGAUUGACUGACGAUUUUAAAUAAGUUUAGCCUUUAAUUUGGAUUAUUUUAUUUUUAUUAUGCUUAAAGUUGUAAUAAGGCCGCUAUUUUUAAUUAAUUUUAUUUUGGGGAUUAUUAAA